UACGUAGGGUGCGAGCGUUGCCCGGAUUUAUUGGGCGUAAAGGGCGCGUAGGCGGCUCUGCACGUUCGUUGUGAAAUCGCCCGGCUCAACUGGGCGGGGUCAGCGGAUACGGCGGAGCUUGAGCAAGCUAGGGGGCAAUGGAAUUCCCGGUGUAGUGGUGGAAUGCGUAGAUAUCAGGAGGAACACCGAUGGCGAAGGCAGCUCGCUGGGACGGUACUGACGCUGAGGCGCGAAAGCGUGGGGAGCGAACAGG
rnacentral:rRNA from 1 species